CACCUCGUAGAUGCAGCACUGAACGAUGGUGAGGAGGGUCAGGGCCACUGCGUGGAGACUGAAGAACACAUCAUUGAUGGCCACAGGGUUCACCCCGCUGGGAUAACUGACCAGGAACUCCUCCUAAAGCACAGGGUCUGUUGGGCAAGAGCAGAGCUGCAUCCUCACCCUCGUGAUGGUGCUGCCCUGUGAGCGUUCCACGUGCUCGCCUCUGCCUCGAGUUUCAAAAGCAGAAGCAAAACAAGGAAGUAAAACAGGAGCACUCUGCUGCUCAGUAAUGUCUGAGCCACAAGCAAGUACAGUCCAGCUUUCUCCAUGUGGCUGGGCUCUUCCCAGGAGGGAGAACUGGCAUCUGUGAGGAGAGGGCUCCCCUGACUGACCCAGCCCAGGAACUCCAGAACAAAUCCUGCACAGCAAGAACAGCAUCCCACUGGACACUGACAGCCAAAUGCUCCCCAGAGCAGAAAAGCUGGCAUGUGAUCUCCAUACUUUUGGGAGGCACUAUUAAAACAAGACUAAGGAGCUGUGAGAACUCAGCUAUCUUGUAAUUAAAUCUAAGACACCACUCUG